GACGGAACCCAUGCAACGUUAUUCGGAUUCACUGGGCUUAAAGCGUGCGUAGGCGGCGGUGUUAGUCAGGUGUGAAAGCCCUCAGCCCAACUGAGGAAUUGCGCUUGAUACUGCAUCGCUAGAGAAUGAUAGAGGUGGGUGGAACUGAUGGUGGAGCGGUGAAAUGCGUUGAUAUCAUCAGGAACACCAGUGGCGAAGGCGACCCACU
rnacentral:rRNA from 1 species